AGAUGGAUUUAAGCUACAAGGAACCAGG
rnacentral:piRNA from 1 species